GUCAGGAUGUUUGUGGUCCUCCCUGAUGAGGUCACUGCCAACAUGACCCUGGUGGAUGAGAGCCUGAUGGCCGAGUUUGUCCAGGACCGUUCAGUUUCUGCAUGUGGCCGACACACUGCCUUCCAAGAGUUCAGCUACUCCACUGACCUGCUGCCUCCGCUUACUGACCAUGAAUGGUCUCUCCAAAUCACUAAGUCCGCACCUGAUGAGAGGCUCAACUAAAGAUGUUGCAGAACGGCUGUAUUUGAAGCACUCACACCCUUCUGCCCAGUUUCCCUGAUGUUGCUACGGCAAUCAAGCUGUUUUUUUUUUUACCAUCCAUGUAACUGUUGCCUCUGCGGUAAGAUCGUUUUUAUAAACUAAAACUCAUAAAGAACUACGUGAAAAGCGUUAGGCUCUCGGUCUGAUAUGCGCUUUUGAACACUUCUUCAGUAAGCUCCACUAAUUGCACUGGUGCCGUCGUAGCAUUGGGUGUGUCGUAGUGUAACAGUUGUUAAAGUACUAUGUGAAUUUCACCAGGUUCCUGUAUUAAUAUGUCGUGUUGAUUUGUUAUUAUGCAUGCCUGCAUCCUGGGAGAAGGGGAGUGUGUACUUACGUUUUGCCCUGCGUGCUCAAAUCAUUUUGACGCACUGAGAGAGGUAGGCACGCUUUUUCUGUCUUCAGGAAAGUUUGAUUAUUUUAAGUACAAAGUCAUACACAGUGUUUUGUUCAUGAAUAAUGAUGUAUAUUUAGAGGUUACUCAUAAGCGGAUGGUAUUGUUAAGAUGCACUUGUAAUUGUACUUUUUAGGAUGAUAUCAACAUUCUGAAUUCAACAUGUGGUUAAUAGCUAGCUAAGGUAUUAGCAGGCUAUUGUAUGUGUGAACGAUGGCUAGCUCCUCGAAUGAUCCCAGUCCCUCCUAUUGUGCAUCUGUUGUAGAAAGAGGCGACGAUUCUCAGAACAUAUGUGCUCUACAAAUGUUUUAUUUCCUUUUGGAUGCAGGUAUGUGGUUUUAUCUAUGUAAAAUAUGUUAUGUAUAAUAAGGAGAGACUGUAUUAAUUUUUGUAUUCGAAAAUCAUUUUGAUGCACUGAGAGAGAAAGAGGCGACGAUUCUCAGAACAUAUGUGCUCUACAAAUGUUUUAUUUCCUUUUGGAUGCAGAUGCAGGAUGCAGAGAGUGAGUUCUACUUGAUUAAAACUACCUGAUAUCCAAAGUCCACGUUUUAUAGUCUCAAUCAACCACACACAACGCAGAGUUACAGCGGUGCAGUAUAGCACCGGUUACAGUAGCAUUGACCACGGCAUUUGUUCACGAUAUGUACUUAUGUACUUUCAGAUAUGUACUUUCAGUCAGUUGAAUUUGUAGAAGCUGAUCAUGUAAUAACUUUUGCAUUUGAUCAUGUAAACUGCCAAUAAUGUAACAGCUGCUUCUAAUGUAAUAACGUUGGCAUUCAUAAUGUAAUAACUUGCCAAUCAUGUAAUAAAUAUGCUGAACGCAUAACAUAACGUUUUUGCACAUGAA